rnacentral:rRNA from 1 species
UACGUAGGGGGCAAGCGUUGUCCGGAAUCAUUGGGCGUAAAGAGCGUGUAGGCGGCCCGGUAAGUCCGCUGUGAAAGUCCAGGGCUCAACCCUGGGAUGCCGGUGGAUACUGUCGGGCUCGAGUCCGGAAGAGGAGUGUGGAAUUCCUGGUGUAGCGGUGAAAUGCGCAGAUAUCAGGAGGAACACCAAUUGCGAAGGCAGCUCGCUGGGACGUUACUGACGCUGAGACGCGAAAGCGUGGGGAGCAAACGGG